UUCAAUUUUCAACAAAUGAUACACAUACAAACACUUAGCCAAAUAAAUUGAAAUCAUAAAACCCCACCUUGUCUUUUCCCUUCUUCGCGCCACCCCCAACCGAGAGAAGACUCUGCGCCAUCACCACUCAUCACCCCCAAAUCAGAGAAGACUCUGCGCGCUAUCACCACUCACUGUAACAUCCCUAAUUUCUAACUGUAAAUCCCAAAAUCCCCAAAUUAACUCAAAAAAUCCUAAUUUCCCCAAUUCCUAACCCUAACAGCCGCAACCUCACCCUUCUUCAACGUAACAAACAAAAGCAGCCACUGUAGAGAGAAGAGGGAUCGGGAGAAGAAGAGCAGAGAGGAAAGGCCUGCCCAGCCGUCACCACCGCAGCGCCGCUGCAGCUAUUGCCACCUUCAGAGCUGCGGAAAGUCGUCCUCCCUGCCGUCGAAUGCCACCGUCGUGUCGCACUUGCGAGAGAGAGAGAGAGACAGAUUCGAGAGGAGCUACCCACGAUCGAUGCCGUCAAAAACAGGCUCUUCGCCGUCACCACCCACGAAGCUGCGAGGAGCCGCUGUCGUGCUCGUGUCGCUGUGCGCCGUCGAGCUUCCCUCACCCUGAGCCGUCGAUCUGUCGCCACCGCUACAAGGGCCUGUCGCUGGAGCCACGAUUGUCACUGAGCUUCCGUCGCCGCUGCCGUUCAAGCCGCUGCUGCCGUCGAUUUGGAGUUGCUGCGAUUGGAGCCACUAGCGGGGAAAUUCAAUGGGUUCAUGAGGAUAGAAUUACAUUGUUCACCGCUGAUGGACUGGUGCAGAUUGGAGGCUCUAUCACCCCUCGCCAUGUUAGCUCUUCAGAUUCUCUCACGCAAACUCAGAACAGAGAGAAAAAAGUUGCCACAAAAUUUAUCAAGACACUACAGUGCCAUUGUUAUUAUAUAUGCGCUGUGAGUUAAGGGAGGGGUAGUACAUUCUAAUAACUACUAAUAACUAAGUCGAUAACAUAAUUUGAUAUAGCAAAGAACUUGGGUUAUGGCACUGUGAAUUUGUGUGAUGUUAGGUUUAUUUGCCUACAAAUUCAUACACUAUAGAAGGAGAAAAGAUGUAUAUCAUGUUAUGGGGUAUUGUGCAUGCAUGGCCAAAGGUGCAGCUGAGACACUUAAAUUGAACAUGGCUAUUAUCUUGUUACCAGUUUGCCGGAACACUAUUACUUGGAUGAGGAAUAAGACCAAGCUUGGCAUCAUGGUUCCUUUUGAUGACAAUCUUAACUUCCACAAGGUGAUAGCUGUGGCAGUAGCAAUUGGUGUUGAAAUACAUGCAAUUUUUCAUCUUUCUUGCGACUUUCCUCGCCUCCUUCGUACAAGCCCUCAAAAGUACAAGCCGCACCUUGAUUCAGGAGAAACAGGGUUAAGCUUCCUAAACCACUCAACAGUCUAACUGGCUUCAAUGCAUUUUGGUACUCACAUCAUCUCUGUCAUUGUCUAUGUCUCGUUGAUUGUUCAUGGAAUCAAACUUUUCUUGACCAAAGAGUGGUACGAGAAAACGGGGUCUGAUUUAGAUAGUUUAUUAGAGGAGAAUAAUGUAACAUCUUCAGCCAAACCAAUUGUUGGCUCAACACCUCUGAAGCAGAAUCAGAGGCAUGAAGGUAGUGCAAGGAUUAUUAGAAGCAUACUCUCAAACAAGGAAAUACUCUCAAACAAAGAAAUGCGCUAAAGUUAGUCAGCCAGGCCUCAAUCGGAACAGGCAGUACCAACAUCUGAUCUACAAAAAGAAAGACAAUCACCUCGCCCUGUACAUGUACAAUUGAUUUUGAAGUAAUUUAUUUUUAGAGAAAUAAAUUUUAUUUUUAGAGAAAUAAUUUGUAUUAUUCCCAAAUAGAAGAUCUUAUGGCUGCAAAUUUAUUAUGGCAACCUAGAUUUUGUUUAAGGAUAAUUUUUAUUAUUUAAAGAA